rnacentral:pre_miRNA from 1 species
CAUGCUUGAGGAGAAAUGGUCCUUGGUGUGUUUGCUCUGUUUGUGACACAUCAUACGAGGACAGUUUCUUUUUGAGUAUC